rnacentral:tRNA from 1 species
GCUGGCGUAGCUCAAUCGGUAGAGCAACUGACUUUUAAUCAGUAGGUUGAAGGUUCGAACCCUUUCGCCGGCACCA